UUUGGUGAUCAUAGCGACAGGGAUACACCCGGUUACAUUCCGAACCCGGCAGUUAAGCCUGUCUUCGCCUAAAAUACUUGGAUUCGUCCCGGGAAGAUAGGCAGUCGCCAAACU
rnacentral:rRNA from 1 species